rnacentral:rRNA from 1 species
UACGUAGGGUGCGAGCGUUGUCCGGAAUUAUUGGGCGUAAAGAGCUCGUAGGCGGUUUGUCGCGUCGACUGUGAAAACCUACAGCUUAACUGUGGGCUUGCAGUCGAUACGGGCAGACUUGAGUUCGGUAGGGGAGACUGGAAUUCCUGGUGUAGCGGUGAAAUGCGCAGAUAUCAGGAGGAACACCGGUGGCGAAGGCGGGUCUCUGGGCAUUAACUGACGCUGAGGAGCGAAAGCAUGGGGAGCGAACAGG